GGCCAUGUCUGGGCAGAAUCCACCAGUCACGCAAAGAGGACGAUACACUGUAGCACUCAGCAGAAGAGGAAAGAUGGGAACAGAAAGCAAAUGGAAGAUUUUACACCUCCGCCACUGGAAAUGGUGCCGGUAAAGGAAAUGGAGGUAUGAGCCUGUUCCUGGGUUUUCACCUGAGGUGUCAUAGCUUGUCUUUGAUCUACUGUAUAUCAAUCUCCUAUAUCAAGAAGGAGUCAAAAGGGGGCACUUUGCGCAUUUUAACCUUUCCAUGUGGCAAAAUGAGAAACCUACUGGUCUAUUUAAAUGUGAGAAAGAUGUUCCGAGUGCUAGAUGUGAUAGUCCUCUCCUGCUUGGCUGGCUAACCUCCAUGUACUUCCUUGUACUUGUCUAUGGACGCUUGUCAACACAAAAAUUAUGAUUGAAAGGAGCAGAUAACUACAUGCAGGUAAGCAGCGAGAAUGAUUUGCUGAGCAUUGUCAGCAUAAGCUGCGUUAGUCUUCCUUCCUCUGCCUGCCGUUCUCUCUUUCUGAAGCAGCACGCCUUGCUGUGGCUGGUCAAAUGGAACCAAGUCAGGUGUUUCUGCGAGGUUUGGUCCCCUUCAACCAGCUACUGCGUCGUGAAUACAGCCAACUAUUAGAUAUUAGAGGAGAGUCAUUCA